AACGAACGCUGGCGGCAUGCCUAACACAUGCAAGUCGAACGAGACCUUCGGGUCUAGUGGCGCACGGGUGCGUAACGCUUGGGAACCUGCCCUUAGGUUCGGAAUAACUCCCCGAAAGGGGUGCUAAUACCGGAUAAUGUCUUCGGACCAAAGAUUUAUCGCCUUUGGAUGGGCCCGCGUUGGAUUAGCUAGUUGGUAGGGUAAAAGCCUACCAAGGCGACGAUCCAUAGCUGGUCUGAGAGGAUGAUCAGCCACACUGGGACUGAGACACGGCCCAGACUCCUACGGGAGGCAGCAGUGGGGAAUAUUGGACAAUGGGCGAAAGCCUGAUCCAGCAAUGCCGCGUGAGUGAUGAAGGCCUUAGGGUUGUAAAGCGCUUUUACCCGGGAUGAUAAUGACAGUACCGGGAGAAUAAGCGCCGGCUAACUCAGUG
rnacentral:rRNA from 1 species